rnacentral:lncRNA from 1 species
GAAAGAAAAUUGUUAAGCAUGCAUGCAUGGCCAUAACUUAAGCUAUGCAAGAGUUCAUCGCUACAUUAUCCCUUAUCUUUCGUUAUCAUUGUUGAGUUGGCUGCUUGAAUUACGUAUCCACGUGGUGUGUAACUUUUAUAUUUUCUUGUGCUAGUUCGAUGGGACUUUUUAAGCUGCAUUGCUGUAAUAAUUGUCAAAUAGGAAUAUGUGGGUUCUUGCUUUCUCAAAUAUCGAUAUAUAUUAGUUGUGGAAAAUAAUAUGAAUAUUAAUUGUAGCAUGUCCAGUGAUGCUAGCUUG